rnacentral:rRNA from 1 species
GAUGAACGCUGGCGGCGUGCCUAAUACAUGCAAGUCGAGCGAACGGACGAGAAGCUUGCUUCUCUGUUGUUAGCGGCGGACGGGUGAGUAACACGUGGAUAACCUACCUAUAAGGCUGGGAUAACUUCGGGAAACCGGAGCUAAUACCGGAUAAUAUUUUGAACCGCAUGGUUCAAAAGUGAAAGACGGUCUUGCUGUCACUUAUAGAUGGAUCCGCGCUGCAUUAGCUAGUUGGUAAGGUAACGGCUUACCAAGGCAACGAUGCAUAGCCGACCUGAGAGGGUGAUCGGCCACACUGGAACUGAGACACGGUCCAGACUCCUACGGGAGGCAGCAGUAGGGAAUCUUCCGCAAUGGGCGAAAGCCUGACGGAGCAACGCCGCGUGAGUGAUGAAGGUCUUCGGAUCGUAAAACUCUGUUAUUAGGGAAGAACAUAUGUGUAAGUAACUGUGCACAUCUUGACGGUACCUAAUCAGAAAGCCACGGCUAACUACGUGCCAGCAGCCGCGGUAAUACGUAGGUGGCAAGCGUUAUCCGGAAUUAUUGGGCGUAAAGCGCGCGUAGGCGGUUUUUUAAGUCUGAUGUGAAAGCCCACGGCUCAACCGUGGAGGGUCAUUGGAAACUGGAAAACUUGAGUGCAGAAGAGGAAAGUGGAAUUCCAUGUGUAGCGGUGAAAUGCGCAGAGAUAUGGAGGAACACCAGUGGCGAAGGCGACUUUCUGGUCUGUAACUGACGCUGAUGUGCGAAAGCGUGGGGAUCAAACAGGAUUAGAUACCCUGGUAGUCCACGCCGUAAACGAUGAGUGCUAAGUGUUAGGGGGUUUCCGCCCCUUAGUGCUGCAGCUAACGCAUUAAGCACUCCGCCUGGGGAGUACGACCGCAAGGUUGAAACUCAAAGGAAUUGACGGGGACCCGCACAAGCGGUGGAGCAUGUGGUUUAAUUCGAAGCAACGCGAAGAACCUUACCAAAUCUUGACAUCCUUUGACAACUCUAGAGAUAGAGCCUUCCCCUUCGGGGGACAAAGUGACAGGUGGUGCAUGGUUGUCGUCAGCUCGUGUCGUGAGAUGUUGGGUUAAGUCCCGCAACGAGCGCAACCCUUAAGCUUAGUUGCCAUCAUUAAGUUGGGCACUCUAAGUUGACUGCCGGUGACAAACCGGAGGAAGGUGGGGAUGACGUCAAAUCAUCAUGCCCCUUAUGAUUUGGGCUACACACGUGCUACAAUGGACAAUACAAAGGGCAGCGAAACCGCGAGGUCAAGCAAAUCCCAUAAAGUUGUUCUCAGUUCGGAUUGUAGUCUGCAACUCGACUACAUGAAGCUGGAAUCGCUAGUAAUCGUAGAUCAGCAUGCUACGGUGAAUACGUUCCCGGGUCU